rnacentral:rRNA from 1 species
AGAGUUCGAUCCUGGCUCAGGACGAACGCUGGCGGCGCGCCUAACACAUGCAAGUCGAACGGAGUUAUCUCAGCAGAAGCUUUCGGGUGGACGCAGGGAUAACUUAGUGGCGAACGGGUGAGUAACACGUGAGGAACCUGCCCUGGAGUGGGGGACAACAGUUGGAAACGACUGCUAAUACCGCAUAAGCCCACAGCACCGCAUGGUGCAGAGGGAAAAGGAGCAAUUCGCUUCAGGAUGGCCUCGCGUCCAAUUAGGUAGAUGGUGAGGUAACGGCCCACCAUGCCGACGAUUGGUAGCCGGACUGAGAGGUUGAACGGCCACAUUGGGACUGAGACACGGCCCAG